AUUGAACGCUGGCGGCAGGCUUAACACAUGCAAGUCGAGCGAGCGGCGGACGGGUGAGUAAUGUCUGGGAAACUGCCUGAUGGAGGGGGAUAACUACUGGAAACGGUAGCUAAUACCGCAUACCAUCAGAUGUGCCCAGAUGGGAUUAGCUAGUAGGUGGGGUAAUGGCUCACCUAGGCGACGCUCCCUAGCUGGUCUGAGAGGAUGAUCAGCCACACUGGAACUGAGACACGGCCCAGACUCCUACGGGAGGCAGCAGUGGGGAAUAUUGCACAAGGGGCGCAAGCCUGAUGCAGCCAUGCCGCGUGUAUGAAGAAGGCCUUCGGGUUGUAAAGCACUUUCAGCGGGGAGGCGUUACUCGCAGAAGAAGCACCGGCUAACUCCGUGCCAGCAGCCGCGGUAAUAC
rnacentral:rRNA from 1 species